AGAGUUUGAUCCUGGCUCAGAUGAACGCUGGCAUGCCUACACAUGCAGUCGAACGGCGCGGCGGGGUACCUCGCUGGGUGAGUGUAGGGAUGAAGAAUAUCGAACGUCCCUGGAGGGGGGAUAAGUUCGUAAGUUACGCUAAUACCGCAUACGAUAAGGAUGAAAGUGGGGGAUCUCAAGACCUCAAUGCGUCCUGGAGCGGCCGAUAUCUGAUUAGCUAGUUGGCGGGGCUAAAAGCCCCCCCUAGGCAUCGAUCCAGAAGCUGGUCUGAGAGGACGACCAGCCACACUGGAACUGAGACCACGGUCCCGACUCCUACGGGAGGCAGCAGUGGGGAAUUUUGGGACAAUGGGCGAAAGCCUGAUCCAGCAAUGCCGCGUGAGUGAAGAAGGCCUUCGGGUUGUAAAGCUCUUUUGUCAGGGAAGAAACGGUGGUCUCUAAUACAGGCUGCUAAUGACGGUACCUGAAGAAUAAGCACCGGCUUAACUACGUGCCAGCAGCCGCGGUAAUACGUAGGGUGCAAGCGUUAAUCGGAAUUACUGGGCCGUAAAGGCGUGCGCAGGUCGGUUUUGUAAGAUCUGUCGUAGAAAUCCCCGGGCUCAACCUGGGAAUGGCGAUGGAGCACUGGCAAGGCUAGAGUUUGGCAGAGGGGGGUAGAAUUCCACGUGUAGCAGUGAAAUGCGUAGAUAUGUGGAGGAACACCGUAUUGGCGAAGGCAGCCCCCUGUGGUCAAGACUGACGCUCAUGCACGAAAGCGUGGGGAGCAAACAGGAUUAGAUACCCUGGUAGUCCACGCCCUAAACGAUGUCUACUAGUUGUCGGGUCUUAAUUGACUUGGUAACGCAGCUAACGCGUGAAGUAGACCGCCUGGGGAGUACGGUCGCAAGAUUAAAACUCAAAGGAAUUGACGG
rnacentral:rRNA from 1 species